rnacentral:rRNA from 1 species
AGUGAACGCUGGCGGCAGGCCUAAUACAUGCAAGUCGAACGGCAGCACGGCAGAGCUUGCUCUGUGGGUGGCGAGUGGCGGACGGGUGAGGAAUACAUGGGAAUCUGCCCAGUCGUGGGGGAUAACGUAGGGAAACUUACGCUAAUACCGCAUGCGCCCUUCGGGGGAAAGCCGGGGACCUUCGGGCCUGGCGCGAUUGGAUGAGCCCAUGUCGGAUUAGCUAGUUGGCGGGGUAAAGGCCCACCAAGGCGACGAUCCGUAGCUGGUCUGAGAGGAUGAUCAGCCACACUGGAACUGAGACACGGUCCAGACUCCUACGGGAGCAGCAGUAGGGAAUAUUGGACAAUGGGCCAAGCCUGAUCCAGCCAUGCCGCGUGAGUGAAGAAGGCCCUCGGGUUGUAAAGCUCUUUUGUCCGGAAAGAAAAGCGCCGGGUUAAUACCCUGGUGUCCUGACGGUACCGGAAGAAUAAGCACCGGCUAACUUCGUGCCAGCAGCCGAC